rnacentral:lncRNA from 1 species
ACAUACCAGAUCUUUCCUAGCCAGAAUAUCCCUCUAUCGUAAUUUAAUAGCACAAUAAAUCACUACAAUAACACUUGCAAAAUAUGCAGAACAAAAAUAAAGAACACUAGAAUUUUAACGAGGUUCAGCAAAUUUUGCCUACGUCCUCGGGCACUACCAAAUAUAUUUCACUCCAAAAAUACAAGUGAAAGUUUACAAAUAGGGAGAGAGAACAAUUGCCUUAAGUAGAGAAUGGCAAGUGUGGGAUGAAGAAAGUAAGAAAUGGUUAGGCCUAUUUAUAGUUGAGGUUCAAGGAUCAACUUGCAAUGUCCCUAUACAAUUAGGGACCAAAAUUGCAAUUAUCUCAUGCCAACUUUUAACCCAACUUGCCAACCAAUUUUACUUUCUACUUUCGGUGCCCACCCUUUUUGACUUUUCAAACAAUGGGUGGGUUCCAAUAAUCUCCACCUUGAAGAUUUGAUUAGGAUAAUCUUAUCUUCACACAAUUCUUUCUACCUUUGACAACAAUACUUGAUAGUGCCUUCUUCAACUGUUAAACUUGCAGGAUAUUAAUCAAGUUCAAACAAUGUUCGAACUUGGUUGAUGUUACCACCUUGGUCAUCAUAUCUGCGGGAUUAUCCGCAGUCUUGAUCUUCUGAAGACAAAUUUUCCCCUCUUCAAUAAUUUCCCGCACAAAAUGGAAUCGUACGUCGAUAUGUUUUGUACGUGCAUGAUAGACUUGAUUCUUUGCUAAAUGAAUAGCACUUUGACUAUCACAAUACACGUUAAUAUGCUCCUGAACCAACCCCAAGGUUUUAGCCAUACCUUGUAACCAAAUAGCCUCCUUUACAGCCUCUGUUACAGCCAUGUACUCGGCUUCUGUGGUUGACAAUGCAACUGUAGACUGUAGUGUAGACUUCCAACUUAUUGGUCCUCCAGCAAGUGUAAACACAUAACCGGUGGUUGAUCUUCGCUUGUCCAAAUCACCGGCAUAGUCAGAAUCAACGUACCCAAUAACACCUUUACCAAGUGUAUUAUCCUGCUUGAACAGUAAUCCAACAUCCACGGUCUUCUGAAUAUACCGUAGAAUCUAUUUCACAGCUUGCCAAUGUCCUUUUCCAGGAUUAUACAUAUACCUGCUCACUAUACUAACUGCCUGUGAAAUGUCGGGUCUUGUACACACCAUUGCAUACAUCAAGCUACCCACUGCAUUAGAAUACGGAACUUGCAACAUGUAUUCUCGUUCCGUAUUCGUCGAAGGAGAUAGUUGUGCAGAAAGCUUGAAAUGAGAAGCCAACGAGGUACUUACAGGUUUGGUCUGCUCGUUCAUGCCAAACUGCUGUAGUACUUUCUUCAAAUACUGCUUCUGAGACAAGCUAACUCUGCCAUGAGCUCUAUCUCUACAUAUUUCCAUGCCGAGAAUCUUUUUAGCUUCUCCUAGAUCUUUCAUCUCAAACUCGAGAUUGAGUUGAGUCUUCAAUCUCUCAAUCUCAACUUUGCUCUUAGAUGCUAUCAGCAUAUCAUCAACAUAUAAGAGCAAGUAUAUGAAAGUUCCUUCUUGUAGCUUCUGAAAAUAUACGCAAUGAUCAAAUUUACUUCUUGUGUGCCUUUGCCCUUUCAUGAACUGAUCAAAUCGCUUGUACCACUGCCUCGGAGAUUGCUUCAAUCCAUAAAGCGACUUUGUCAGUUUGCAAACCCAAUUUUCUUUUCCAGCAACCUUGAAUCCAUCUGGCUGAGUCAUAUAGAUUUCCUCUUCCAAAUCACCGUGUAAAAACGCGGUCUUCACAUCAAGCUGAACUAGUUCAAGAUCAUAUUGCGCAACCAAGGCUAGCAAAAUCCGAAUAGACGAAUGCUUUACAACUGGAGAAAACACUUCAUUAUAGUCUAUUCCUUCUUUCUGAGCGUAACCCUUUGCUACCAAUCUAGCCUUGUAUCGAAUUUCAUUUUUUCCAGGAAAUCCUUCCUUCUUUGCAUAUAUCCAUUUGCAUCCAAUUGCCUUCUUUCCCUUGGGCAGUCUCACCAACUCCCAAGUCCUAUUUUUAUGAAGAGACUGCAUUUCUUCAUUCAUAGCUUGCUUCCACUUUACACCAUCAGAGUUACUUAUUGCUUCUGUGUAAGUGGAAGGAACAUCAUCAUCUGCAAUUGGAAGUGCAUAGGCCACCAUAUCGUCAAAGCGAGCAGGCUUACGAAUCUCUCUUCUUGGCCUCCUAUAUGCAAUUGAAUCUUGUUGCUGUAGAAGUUCUUGGGUCGAAACUUCUUCAUCAUUUGUUCUUUCAAUAUUAGCUGGAUCAUCAUUAACCUUUUCAAACUCCACCUGCUGCAAAGUACUACUGGUUUUGUCAUCCUUUUGUGAAUCCUCGUUCUUCAUCAUGGUUGAUUCAUCAAAAGUUACAUCUCUACUGAAAACAAUCUUCCUUGUAUCAGGACACCAGAGACGGUAUCCUUUUACACCACCAGUUAUACCCAUGAAUAAUGCUUUCUUUGCUCUUGGGUCUAACUUAGAUUCUUUUACAUGAUAAUAUGCAGUGGAACCAAAAACAUGUAAAGAAUCAUAAUCAGUAGCAGGUUUACCAUUCCACAUCUCCAUAGGAGUUUUUCCAUUUAUUGCAGCUGAUGGCAAUCGGUUAAUUAGAUGGCACGCAUAUGUAACUGCCUCAGCCCAAAAUUCCUUGCCCAAUCCAGCAUUGGACAACAUACAUCGAACUUUCUCCAGUAUAGUCCGAUUCAUGCGUUCUGCCAUCCCAUUCUGCUGUGGUGUAUCUCGAACAGUGAAGUGUCGCACAAUGCCCUCAUCUUGACAUACUUGUAGAAAUGGAUCAUUUUUGUACUCAGUACCAUUAUCUGAUCGAAGUCGUUUGACCUUUCGACCUGUCUGAGUCUCCACCAUCUUCUUCCACUUCAGAAAUGCAUCCAAAACUUCAUUUUUUCUUUUCAUUAGAUACACCCAUACUUUUCUUGAAUAAUCAUCAAGAAAAGUGACAAAAUAGUGCAUACCUCCCAAAGAAGCCACUUUGGUAGGUCCCCACACAUCACUGUGAACAUAGUCCAGAAUUCCUUUCGUAUUGUGAAUUGCUGAACCAAAUUUUACCCUCGUCUGCUUGCCCAGAACACAAUGUUCACAGAAUUCCAAUUUGCAAGAAUUUGCACCUUUCAACAAGCCUUGCUUCGCCAAAGUCUGCAAAACUUUUUCACCAGCAUGUCCCAAUCGCCUAUGCCAUAACCUGGUAGCCUCUGAAUCUGCAUCUUUCGCAGAAGCUGUUGAUGUUGAUCCAAUAACUGUACUUCCAUUUAAAUAGUACAAGUUAUUUCUUCUAGUGCCUUUCAUCACCGUCAAUACCCCAGCUACUACCUUUAGUAAUCCAUCUCUCAAAGUGAUUGUGAGCCCUUUAGAUUCUAGGGCCCCUAAUGAGAUGAGAUUUUUCUUCAAGCUGGGUACAUAGCGAACAUCUGUCAGAACUUGGAUUGAGCCGUCAUGGUUCUUCAAUUUGAUUGUACCUACACCCAUUGUCUUACAAGCACUAUCAUUGCCCAUAAAAACAACUCCACCUUCUAGUUCUUCAAGACUAGAAAACCAGUCCUUAUUAGGACACAUAUGGUAAGUACAUCCCGAAUCCAAUAUCCACUCAUCCGUUUGACAUGCCAUUGCCAUGCCAACCAAGCUAAAGUCUGACUCCUCAUCAUGCUCCGCUACACAUGCAUUAGAAAUAGACUUGCCCUUUUGUAACUUAGGACAAUUCUUUUUCCAAUGCCCUUUCUCACGACAAAAGGCACAUUCAUCUUUGGCGGGUCUCCCUUUGGACUUACCCCUUCUACCAGGUUUGCUGCUGUGUGAACGACCUCUUACUGUUAAGACUUCUGCAGUUGUAUCUCUGUGAUCUCUUUUAUCUUUCUUUCGAGUCUCAGAUCUAUACAACGCACUACAGACUGCAUCAAAUGUGAUUGAAUCUUUCCCAUGAAGCAAUGUGGUGGUAAGAUGAUCAUAUUCAUCAGGAAGGGAAUUCAACAACAAUAAUGCCUUGUCUUCAUCUUCAAAUUUCUCAUCCAAAUUUAGCAAGUCUGCUAAAAUUUUAUUGAAUGAGUUCACAUGGUCAUUCAUCGACAUACCGGGUGCAUACGUGAACCGAAAAAGUUUCUUUUUCAUAUAAAGCCUAUUUUCAAGACUUUUCGUUAGAAACUUUUCUUCCAAUGUAUCCCACAGCUUCUUCGCUGAUGUCUCCCUCAUGACGGAGUACUUCUGCUCUUUGGCCAAACAUAGGCGGAUUGUACCACACGCCUGUCUAUUGAUCUUGGCCCACUCCUUGUCAUCCAUCUUGUCAGGUUUUUCUUCAAGGGCUAUAUCCAGCUCUUGCUGACAUAAGACAUCCAGGAUCUCACACUGCCACAUACCAAAAUUAUUGGUACCGUCAAAUUUCUCUACUUCAAAUUUUGCAUUUGUCACAGUAGUCCUUGCUGAUGACGAUGCUGCUGCCAUUUUUCUCCUCAAUCCCAACUACUGUAUACGUGAACAGUACCGUAUACGUGAAUAGUGCCGUAUACGUGAAUAGUACCGUAUACGUGAAUAGUGCCGUAUACGUGAAUAGUACCGUAAACGGUCGUAUUCCCCAAGUACGAACCUGGCUCUGGUACCAAUUGUUGCGCGGAAGCGUGUGAAAGAGUAAAAUUAUUGUAUUGAAAAAUCACACUAAGUUCAAUUCCCAGGAAAGAGAGGUGGAUCACGAGGAUCGCUUACAUACCAGAUCUUUCCUAGCCAGAAUAUCCCUCUAUCGUAAUUUAAUAGCACAAUAAAUCACUACAAUAACACUUGCAAAAUAUGCAGAACAAAAAUAAAGAACACUAGAAUUUUAACGAGGUUCAGCAAAUUUUGCCUACGUCCUCGGGCACUACCAAAUAUAUUUCACUCCAAAAAUACAAGUGAAAGUUUACAAAUAGGGAGAGAGAACAAUUGCCUUAAGUAGAGAAUGGCAAGUGUGGGAUGAAGAAAGUAAGAAAUGGUUAGGCCUAUUUAUAGUUGAGGUUCAAGGAUCAACUUGCAAUGUCCCUAUACAAUUAGGGACCAAAAUUGCAAUUAUCCCAUGCCAACUUUUAACCCAACUUGCCAACCAAUUUUACUUUCUACUUUCGGUGCCCACCCUUUUUGACUUUUCAAACAAUGGGUGGGUUCCAAUAGGUUGCAAACCUUUCACAAAAUUCUUAAAGGUUUCUUGCUCAGCCAUAUCCAAAGGACAUUGAAGCUUAAUCAUCAUUUUCACAAGAUCCAUGUGACUCCUUUUUUUAUCAAACCUCAAGCUUCCUUCAUUGGUAUCAACUAGAAGUAUCAACUGGCUUUCUUGAUUUUGUUUCUUCUUAUCAGGGUCACCAUUGGGAAAAAUCUGCGAAAUUGAGAAUAAAUCAUUUAUACUACAUUAUAUAAUUUAAGCAUAAGACCACUGAUUAAACUUUUUAUAUUCAAGCAUACAUAUUGACAAGCUAUUCCCCUAAUAACCCUUUUUAUCUUAGAAAUUAUAAAUCAGUUAUCAACUAGAAUAUAUGAUAUUAACAAGUAAGAAUAAAUAAUUACCUUGUUAGGAGGUCCUAGUGUGUUAGAAGGAGCUACAACAACUUUUGAUGAAGACUGUAUAGUUAUUGGAGGGGGAAAAUUUGGAACCACUCCCCUCUAAAAGCAAAUGAUAUUAUCAUCAUUAGAACCAUUAAUGCUAAUUUAUGAUUAAUUUAGUGUUGAAAUAAUAGAAUAAUAUAUAAGACAAUGCAAUUACCUGGACAUUAAGCCCAUUUAUUUCUACUGCAUCAACGUCCUCUGUUUCUUCAGCUAUUUUCAAAGGCCUUGCUGUGUACGAAGAUGUCGGAAUGUUUGAAAUACCUUUCUCGUUGCCUUGAACCUUUACUGUUACAAACUUUUUCUCCAUAUGUUUCAAGUCAUUGAAGAGACGAGGAGUAAAGAAUUUUGAUAUUUCACUCUCAGUUGUAGGCCAAUAAAAUUCUACUACAUAAACAUCAUUACUUAUGUAACGAUUUUGUAGACAGAUUGCCACAACAACAUCUACGUCACAAUUCUUAGCACGUUGGAGAUAAAUGUAGUCGUCUAUGUCAAACUUAGUAAUAGAUGGCUCAAAAUGGUAGUCGUCCUUCGAUUCAAGUGCUUUCUCAAUAAUUAUUUGCUCAAUCUUAUAUUCACAUGAACGCAUAAAUUUAUAAGAGUUCAAAUCUUUCAAAUAACAAGAAUUACUUUGAAUUGAAAAAGUAUAUUUCUUGUUUGGAUCUGACAUAGUUUCAUGCAUAUUGUCAACUUUAGAAGCCCAUGUUAAAGCCGAUGAGAACUUAUGUUCACAAUAUAAAUGGUUUAGUAUGUCAUGUAUCUCAGCAAAGGCAGCUACUCGACUCAAUGUCAAACCCUGUAAUUAUUAAAUAAGAAGCAAUUACGAAAAAUAAAAUUUGAAAUCACACUCUAAAUGAAAAUAAUUUUGAUAUUGUACUCUUGGUUUGAAAAAAGAAAUAAAAUUAAAAAGUGGUUUUUUUUUUGUUUUUAUUCGUAAUUGUAAAAAAAUUAAAAAAAACAUAAUGUUAUAAUUAUACUUAUUUAGACAAAUUUGAUUCUUUCAUACAUAAAGAGGUAUUCAUAUAUCAAGUUCGAUUGAACCCUAUUUCAAAAAUAAAUUAAAAACUUAUUCAGGUCUAAUCUAGGCUACUUGAAAAAAUUCAUUUUAUUAUUUUAAAAAUUAAAAUAUUUUUAUUUUAAUAUUAAUAUUUUUAUAAUUAAAUUUUAAUUCUAAUUUUUACUAUGAAAAAUUCAAUUCGAGCACAAAAUUUUUAUUUUUUUAUAUUUUUUUCACCAUGUCAUCUAUAAUUCCGUCAAUUAAAAUAUGACAUAUAUCUUUUUUUCUAUAUCAUGUGUAUAUUUAAGCAAAAUUUUCAAAUCAAUAAUAAUGUAUCCUUUUUUAAUUGGACGGAAUCAUAAAUAAUAUGAUGAAAAGAUUCCAUAAAAUAAUUAAAAGUUAAGUUAAUACCUCCAGAAAUGGUUGAAGAGGCGGAAGAGGUGAUGGAUAUGGAUUGAAACCUACAAAGAAAUUCCAUUACAAUUAGUCAAUGAUAAGCAAAAAUAACUUAGUUCUGCAUAUGCAAUAUAUGAUUGAUUAAUGGCAGUGUUGAGAAUUUUCAAUUAAAUAAGUAAUUCGAUUAAUCUAUAUAUUAACUGAAAAAAAGAAAAAGAAAAGUAUCUUGUCCAAACUUAUCGUUGCUGGAAUUGAAAUUCAAGUGCUCUUCUUCAACUUUGGGUUUCCAUGCCGACAAGAAAAACAUUCGACAUUCCUUGUAACCUAAAAUCAAACACUCUUCUUCCUCCCCCAUUAUUUCUAGCAAACAUCUAUUCCGCAUUGAAAAAAAAUGAUCUAGAGGGUUUACAUCCUUAACAAUAAGGUCAAUCCCUUUCCUGUGGUUUAAUGGAAUUCGACUAAAGCCAGCCAUUGAAAAGAAAUGUUGCCAUUCUGUCAAAGUUGGGUGCCGCCUAAUUACAUUAUUACCUUCCCAUGCCUCUACGUGGCACUCCCACUCAUACUCCUCAUCAAAAUAAAGGUCCAACUCCGCCCAGCAAUCAAGAGUCUUCAAGGAAUACUGAAAUGAAUCCUCCAAACAUGUCAAGAAAUUGGAGUGGGCAUGAUUAGAAUAAAAGUCUAGCAUGAUUACAAUCGUCGGAUUUAUCUCCUUCAAUCUUACCAACUCUCUCUCCAUUGCUUUUCCAUCUCUUACCAACUUAUCAAGUUUAAAUUUAUAGUAAACCACCACCAUUUCAUCUUCUCUACUUCUUUUGAAAUCUAUUUCACAUUCAUCCACUUCUGCCAAACUAUUGGCAUAAGCCACUUUCAACUCAUCCUCUAACUUUACAUUAACUCCCUUGGCUUCCUCAGUCAAAAACUCCAUUUCCCCAGAGACAUCUACAUGUUUAGCCUGAAAUGGUGGAAGUAUGUAACUUACACGGACGGCUAGAGGAUCGCCGGAGAAGUUCGGUAGUGUGCGAAGAACUGAAUUCUGAAAAGAAUACGGGAUGGAGAAAUCAAUGAGGUGCAAUCGCCUGUUUCCCAUCAAAGCAUUCUUUUCCAUUAAAGCAUCAUGGAUGACAUUUUCUAUGACGCCAUUAAUACGGUAGCUGUCAUAAUGAUAAUAUGGUGCAGGAUCCACCGGGAAAGUUAAGUUGGGAGAAGCCGGAUGCAGUCCGUAGGCUCGGCGAACCAGAGCGUCCGCAAAGUAUUUUACCACUCUGCUUUGAUAUAGGUAGGGUCUCUCAUCAGCAAGAAUCAAGAUGUUGUGAAGGAACACAUCGGCGCUUUUCAGAUCCCCAUCUUCAAUAGCUUUAGCGCUGUCUAGUAACAAUCUCAAGUCGGUGUCGGUGUCAAAAACAUAAGAAGCCAUGAAACAAGGUGAGAUUCAACUGAGUUCGGAUAAAGCAGAAGAGCAAUAUGGUAGAAAAGUAAGUGAAAGCAGCAAUGAAAGUAAAAGCACUAGGGAAAGCGCGUCAUUGAUCAGUUACGCGGAAUACUCAGUGUUUCUACUUUGACUUUUCUUUUUGCUUCCUACAAAUUACCUUCAAAAAAUUACACACAAAAUCAUGUUAACCAGUUAUUAGUUAUUACGCGUUGGUUCGAAUAAGGAUGGUUUUAAUAUUUAAACAUUAACACGAUGUAUUGCCAGACCCUUCUCACCCGAUUCAAUUUGCUGCAGCACAACUGUCUUGAACCUUUCCUCACAUUAAUUAUUAGCCCAUUUAUUAUUUAUUCUAAGGUAAUAUUUAAAAAAACAAAAAAAAUAAAAAAAAUACAUUAUAAAUUUUCUAAUUUCACAUGUAAAAUUUAAAAAACCACUAUUAACAUAUUAAAUAAUAUCUUUUAGAAGAAGGGAAAAAAAAAAGUCUAGGCAUGGUCUCUCAAAGUCCCUAGUGGGAUAACUUUUAUGUUUUCUUUUUCUGCAAAAAGAUUCUCCCAAGAUUUACACAGAAAGAAACUUAGUUAAAAGACAAUCUUUUAACUAUUUAUAAAUAAUAAAAACAUAUCAUGGUCCCACUUUCCAUGUUCUAUUCAUGUUCUAAUCAAUUUAGUUAGAAGCUUGCCGUUUCUGUCACUUUAACUAGAAACAUAAUUAUCUGUUUCACCACAAUCUCCAUGUUUUUCGAAAAAAAAGAACAAUAAGCACACUCCAAUUAUGAGUGACUCAUUAGUUCCAUCAUGGUAACAACUUAUCCCAUCCUCUUUUCCUUGCAUAAUGCAUUGAUUAAAGAAUUGAAAGUCACUACAUUAGGCUAGACUCCAUUCAUCACAUUCUAUUGAGCAAGCUUAUCUCUUCUGUUCUGUCCAUUUACCUUCAAUUGUUUCACCAAACUCAAUGUCCUUCAUAAUUAAAGAGCAAUAAACAAAGUAUUGUUUCAAAUGCGAAGGAAGGUGAUCACCAAAAGAAACAUUAAACCAUCAUCAAAUUCAUUUCCUUGGUGAUUGGAAAUGUGCUUCAAUCUUAUUCAAUUGAUUUUUACUACAAUUUUUAAAAACCAUGCCAACAUUUUUGUGCUGUACAAAUAUUUGUAUAAACACUCAUAUCCAAAUCCCAGUAACAUAGGAGGUAUCCCUUUCUCAGCAGAACCAGAAUGAUAAUUUCAGCAAUUCAUAAUGCUUCAAUUAUGAACCCAUCAUAACACAAGCACCAAAUGACUAACAGAGCCUUCCUCACAUUGCCAUUGUCCACUAAAUACCCCGAUGUCUUUUCAGAGACCACGUUCUUUUCAAGACAAAGAUUAAAUAGUCCCAAGAAAUUCACCAGAAAUCCUUGCAAGAACAUGAACCCAAUUGAAAAUGACGGAACCGUUGUCCGUCUCUUACAAUGAGAUGCCUGCGUGUAACCUUGGAAGUAAACUUCAAAAACGAGUGACAAUCACCACAAGUUUGUAGGUUCUUUAUGAUCAUAAGAGUAGUUCCCGGCUCAGUACAGAUAAGUCCCCAAGCAACAGCCAAUCGCUCGCUAUGAACCUUCAUAGACUCUUCUUUCUCUUCAUUUUCCAAGUCAUGAACUACCAUAUCUGUUUCAGCAACAUAUCCAGCUUCUUUAAGUUUUGUAUUAAGCUCAUUCAACUUUCAUAGAUACCAGCAGACCGUUGAUGUGGUCUAUCUCCGGCCAUAAAAUCAUGUAUCGAGCCAUUGAUCUCGAUCUGGCUCCAACCGGGUUCUUUAACCAAUCCUUUAUUCCUCAUCAUGCUACUUGUUUUAACUGCUUCCUUCCACUUACCAGCCAAUGUAUAUAUAUUAGCCAUCAAAACAUAACUGCUGGUGUUUCCGGGAUUUAAAUCUAACAAUUUCUUGGCUACAUAUUCACCGAGUUCUAUAUUAUGAUGUUUCCUACAUGAACUAAGCAAUGGAGCCCAAACUUGAGAUUGUACUUGCAGACGCAUCUCUUCGAUGGUUUUCAAAGCUAAGUCAAAGUGACCAGCUCAUCCAAGGAGAUCGACCAAGCAAGUAUAAUGCUCUAUUCCGGGCUCUAUUCCGUAAUUGUCUUUCAUGCUUUUGAAGUACUUCAAUCCAUCUUCUACCAACCCUGAAUGACUGCAAGCCAAUAAUAUGCUUGUGAAAACAACAUGAUCUAGGCUGCAAGGUCAGGUUAUCUGCAUCCGGUGAAAUAGUUUCAGAGCCUCGUUACCCAUUCCGUAAAUCGCGUAACCGUUUAUUAUGGAACUCCAAACAGCUAAGGCUUUAUGUAACACUCCUGCAAAUACUUCUUCUGCCUUGUCUAUCCUCCCACAUUUACAGUACAUGUGAAAAAAUGAGGUCCUGCUGAUUUGACGCCAGCCCAUUCAAUUUCACAUAAUGUUCAAUCUUGUUCCCGAUGCUCAGUGAUCCCAGGUCAGCACAAGCAGAGAGUAUGCUGGCAAUUGUAGCUUCAUUUGGUUUAAGAUCUGUUAUUAAUAAACUCUUGAAUAAAUCCAAUGCUUCAGCAGGGUAACCAUGCUGAUUAUUCGCUGCAAUCAUUGAAGUCCACAAGAAAAUACAUUUCUCGUCUACCAUUUCGAAAACUUGUCGAGCCGACACAAUGUCACCACAUUUUGAAUACAUAUUAAGAACCGAGUUAUCGAUCAAAGCUUCACCAUGAAAUCCACUUUUUAGAACAAGGGAAUGAACUGAUGAUGCCAAUAACAAAUUCCCAGAUUCCACACAACUCGAAAUGAUCUUAACAAACAGCACCAUAUCUUGACUAACACACCCCAUUUGUCUCAUUCUAUUAAAAAGAUUGAAUACUUCCCCAACAUUCCCAACACUUACAUAGCCACCAAUAAUAGUAGUCAAUGACCAAUAAUAGUAGUCAAUGAAAGGAUCGAUCUUUCAUCCAUUGUAUCAAAAACAGAACGAGCAUCAUCAAUUAACCCAAAUUUAACAUACAUAUUCACAGCCGAAUUCGCUAAAGGUAUUUCGCAAGGUAGCAACCGGAGCUUAAACACGCAACAGUGCAUUGAUAAGCCUAGUCGAAGAUUAGUACAAGCAGCUAAAACACUAACAAAAGUGGAAGCAAUCAGGUCAAAACCAAUAACCCACAUUUCUUUCAACAAAUUCAUUGCUUCCAUCACACGGAAAUAACGACAAUAAGCAGAAAUCAUAGUGUUCCAACAAACAACAUUUCUCAUAACCAUUUCGUCGAACGCAUUCCGUGCAGAGGCCAAUUCAGAGAAUUUCGAAUACAUAUCGAGAAGAGAUGUUUGUACGAAGAUGUCUUGUUGAAAACCAAGCUGAAGCGCAGGCUUUGAAGAGUAAUGGGAAAGUAAAGCUAUUGCCAUGAACAUGAGUGCCUCGUAACAUUGAAGAGUAGAUUUUGAGAGUGUCAGCGAAAUCGCCAUUGUUGGUUGAGCUUCUGAUUUUCAAGUUGAACAGAUAAAGUGGACGCUUCUUUGAAGUGAUUGAAUUCAAAGGGAAGUGUCGCAUUUACAAGUUCCAAACAUUUGGUGGUUAUUAGCACAAGAAAAGAAAGUAAUACAAUUGACCUUAAAAAAUGGAAACAAUAGAAAUGUUGGUUUGCGGCAGAUGUGAUGAUCGGGUGGUGCUUAAUCAAAUAUUAGUAUAUUUCUCCAAACAUAAGCUUAAAAUUGUACUCAUAUUUACAAAAAAUUAAUUUAAGUUUAUUUCAUAAUAUUUUAAUUUUUUUAAUAUUUAUAUUAUAUUAUUUUAAUAUUUAAUAAAUUUAUAAAUUUUUGUAGACAAAUUGUAACAGCACCAAUGAGAAUUCUGUCUAUUAAGUAUUAAUUUUAUGCUUCGAUUAAUCUUAUAACAUAUGAUUUAUUUAGUAUCAAAGUUGCUCGUAGUGUAAAGGCGAUAGUGUAGACGCACCUUGCUAGUGAAUCACUUUAUCUUUAGUUAUAUGUGAAAUUUUCAAGGCCAGACAUCAACAUAUUUAUCCAAAAAAUAAAAUGAUUUAAAUUAAAUUAUUGAUAUUUAGAAGGGACUAAAAAUAAAAUUUACUUAUUUAAUCAACUUAAACAUAUUGGAGUAGAUUGAAAAUUGUGAAAGCGUUCUCCAUCUCUUAAAAUAAUAUGCUUGCCUGUUACUUUCGAUGGGAUAGAGUGAAUUUUUUUAUUUUAUGUAACAUUUAUAUUAGGUGUAUAAUUAUUUUUUAUUGAAAUAUAUUUUAAAUAUAUGAUUUUAUAUAUUUAAAUUUGUAAUGAUUAUAUUUUAAUAAUAUUUUAAAUAUAAAUUAUAUAAUCAAAUUAAAUUUUACAAAUAAUUUAUAUUAAUUACUUACAAAUAUUUAAUAAUAAGUUAUACUAUUUUUUUAUAUUUUUAUUAAAGUAUAAUAUUAAUCAAUUUAAACAUUAUUUAAAUAUAUAUUUUUAUUUCAUAACAUCAACUGUAAAAUAAAUAUUUUAUUUCUAACUCAACUAAAAUUUGGCAAAAUCUCAUUCUAUUGUUGAGUCAUAUACAUUGCUUUUCACCUUAACCAUUACACUUCAAUGUAGAAAAUAAGUACAAAUCUAAAGAUGAAAAUACUUUAUGUCCAUAAAAAAAGUUCAGAUUUUAACAAAUUUGACAAUAACAAAUAUUUUAUCUAGCUCGAAAUGACUCUAUUUAAAAAAAUAUAUAUCCUUUGACCUUGAGUCAAACUUAUCUAUAUUUUUUACUAUAUAAUCUUCCACGGUAAAUAUCAAGAAAAAUACGAUGUCGGAAAUGAACCAUAUCUUCUUGAGUAAAAGGAAAGAACUCACCAUGCGUAAGACAAUCAGCGUAUUUCAUCACGAACACCCCACAAUCAACAGAACUUUACGUAGUAGUAGGAAAGAAAAGAAAGUAAGACAAUGAGUAAAUAAAAGGUAAAAAAACCUACAGAUUUUUUAGAGAUGAAUGCUUACUUUUUUUGUUCUGGAAUAUCAGUGCGUACUAUAAAUGGCCAUUCUUUUGCAUCAUUAUAACCAAACUCUGGCAGUAGGAAAGUUGUAAACCAUUGCAAUAUUAUUUCUUUUUCAACAUUAUUAGACUUUCGAGAAGAUGGUCUUGGAUCCAACCAAGAAAUCUUCUUCUUUUUGGUAUCGACGUAGAAAAGAACCCAAUGUGCUGAUAAACACACUGGUAGAAACAUCUGCAAUCACAAAUCAAAAAAAGAAGAAGAAAAAAACAAUUAUUGUCGAUAAAGAUCAACGAUUUAGAUUACGAUUGGUUUUUCUUACCGUAAUGUAAAAAAUUACUUCUAUUAGUUCUACAAUCAUGAACACAAUUAAAAUUCCAAUUACAUCACAAACUAUGAUGAAAUUUUGAAACAUGUAGCAAAAGCUUUUGAGCUUACUUUGUGGACACCUCUUAGCUUCUUGGCUUUAAACCAAUCAAAUACUUCUUGUUUUAAUCUGGAUCCUGUUAUCAAGAAAUUCUGAUAAUUGCAAAACAUAUACAAGUUAAAUGGUUCUUUCUAUAUAAUCCUAUGUAAGAUAUUAAUAAUUUUAAUUCGAAAUACCAACAAUUUUUGAUAAGAUUAAAGUUCUUACAGCUAUAUGAGGAUCAAAUGAAUAGUGAUCGUUGUAUGUCUUUGAAAAUCUGUCCGAUCUCUUCUUAAGCAAUCUGAAAAAAGUACUAACAACCUACAUAUAAAGUAAAUAGUUAAUAUAAUUGGUUUAUCAAUAUAGAACCAAUAUACGAAUUAAAAAAAAAAAAGAAGAAGAGAUAAGUAAUUACCGAAUCAUCAAUAUAGUACUCUAACCGAGUCUCAUCGCUACGAGGCACCAUGAGUAAAGGUGUUAAUUUCUCGCCCAUUAAUUUAAAUUCCUCGUCUCGUCCAAUCAAUUUUCUGCGAAAUAAAUUAAAGUUUUUGUGAAACAUAAACUGUAACAUAUAUAUAUAUAGUUAUAUUAUAAUGACAUCCAAUAUUAACUCAUCAAAACUGCCACCAUACCCACUCAAGUCACUCAUUUUCCAUUUAUUUAAUCGUUUUUCCUCCUUCUCUGUAAAGCUUGAAACUAAAUAUGUCCGAACAUCCUAUAAUAACAAGGAAAAAAAAAUCACAAUGUAAGAGCACUAAUAUAUGCAUAAAAGUAAUGUAUAUAAAAAAAAUUGAAAUAAAGUAUGAACCUCUUUACGCCAUGACCCUUUCUCCUUCAAUGUUUUCUCAUCAUCAGACUCGGAGGAUGAGCUUUGAAACUGACCCAAUUGAUUAUUGUUCGAUAGUGGUUCAUCAUUUGAAAUUUGGAUCGAGGCAGCAAUGUUGCUUCCAUGAUUAGGUUCUAUAUUAAAAAAUUUUGCUUAAUAAUGUAGUGAGCCAUUGCCAAAGGUUAAAGGAAACCAUUGUUCAAGUAGUUUUGGAUUUGUCUCCACUACUAGUUUCUCCAUAAUAACAAUUUUUGCAACUUUUCAGUUUGCAAACCUUUGGUUCAGACCACUACUAGAGUUCAAAAUAACCUGUUUGCAGCUCUUUCAGAUUCAGUCCAAGAUGAGAAUAAAGAAAAAAAAAAACCUUGUCAAGAAAUUCAACCACAAUUUAAUAGCAAAUUAAACAAACAAUUUAACUAAUGUACUUACUUCCUAUUGAAAUUUCACCAACAGGUUCAUCUGAAAACAUUGCAACACCGUUUAAUUAAAAUAAAAUGUAUUACCAUAUGAUAUUUCAAGAGAUUAACUAAUUUGAAGUUAAAUACUCAUAAUAACAUUGACAUUCGAGUUUGAGUAACAUAGUAGUUAAUAAUAAUAAGUAUAAAUCAAUUACCAUUGUUGUUGGAAUCUAUAGCAAUAUCUUCGGUACUAAUAACUUUCUCACAAUUCGAAGGUUUGGAUUUUUUUCUGACACAAGUGUCCUCAUCCAGCUUCCUUUUUCCUUUAUCCUAUGAAAUGAAAAUGUAUUAAGGUAAUUCAGUUUUCAACGUAUAUGAAAAAAAUUUCAAUGGAGACAGCUUCUAAUCAUAAUUUAUGUACAAUGCGUACCCUAGUUUGUGUGGGUUCAUGAUUUUCUCCAUCAUCUGUGAUAGCAAAUCAACACUGUUAAGUGAUAAAGAUAAUGUAAUACUAAAGAACAGAGUAGACCCUAAGUGAAGUGUAGGAAAAUAUAAUUGAAGGAUCUAAACAAAUUAAGAGUAAAGACUUACUUCCUUUCGGAGUUUCCAACCAGUUUUCAUUGCAUACCAAAGCUUCCAUGCUCUCAGGCUUCAAGAUACUGUAGGCUGGAUUAUUGAUCGUGGCCUUAAUAUUUGAACAUGGCGUGAAAAUUGAUACCGGAAUCGCGAGGAAAUCUCGAGCCAUCUUUGCAAGUAUUGGAAACUUUUGAGAUUUACCACACCACCAACCGAGUAUGUCAAAGAUUGCUCCAUCCUCGGGAAGUACUAAAGGUUCAUUUAAGUAACAGUUAAGCUCUGAGGCCUCCUCAUUCAAGUUGCUUGUAGAUACACGUUUUCUGAAGGAGUCCAAAAGACACUCAUUUGUAGACUCUGUUGAUGAACGAUUGGAAUCACCCAAGACUGAAGUAGAUUCGGUCAGAUUAUUGGCCUCACCGGCAUAUUUAUGGUAAACAUCUCUAAGAAAUGUAUGAAAUACUUUCAAAUGCAUCAUUCCGUCAUUGCCAUACAUCUCAGAAUAUGAAUACUCCACAAAUUCGAAUUUAAGCUUGGAUCAAGAACAGCUGCAACAGCGAAAGCCAAACUACAUAAGCUCCAAUAGUAGUCAAAUUUCCUCUUCAUCGAUGGAACAAAUGGAGGAUUGCUUUCUUCCAACUGAGGAAAUUUAUUGUAUAUGUCACAAAGCUUUGUAAAGUACAAGCUUCCAGUAAGGGAUUGAGUUCCUUUGAUAUCAUCAAAGCAUCUCAAACAACUCUGUAGAGCUGCUGCAUUCUUCCAUUCCUCCAUUGAUGGGUUUAGUUUAAAAUUGGCAUCAAUUUCCUCCAGCUUACAAAAGAUUUCUCUUGAUCUCAAAGCACUAUCAAGUAUGUCAAAGUCUGAUUCCCGCUUGAAAGAAAGAUCAUCCCAUGAUUUCCCACCUUGUUACUUCACUCGAUCUACAGCCUCUUGGAAUUUCAGCUUUCCAUGUCUUGUUUCAGUGACAUAUCUAAUGGACUUCUUUAACUUGAAAAGUAGGUCAUCCAUCUCUCGAAACCCAUCCUCAAGAAGUGUGAAACUGAUGAACCAAUGAGCAGAAGAAAGGGAGCUUCGAUCACUAAGACAAUUUUCUUUUAUCUGCUGGAUCAUACUGUCAUCCAAAAAAGAGUUAUCCACAGUUAUGGAACAUACUUUACUGCCUAUAUUCCACUCCGAAACUAAGCUCCGAAUAAUUCCACCAACAGCUUUUGUGUCAUAUAUAUCCUCCAAAGUUCUCAAGCCAAGAGUCUUCAUCUUUAGUUCCCAACUAUCAUCAAUAAAAUGUGCUAUCAAACAGCAAUAUGCAGUCUUUCCGUUAUUGUUCUCCCACAAACUCACUGUUAGAUUGAAUUUACUAGCAAGCUUAUCAAAAUACAGCUGAAGUAUCUCCUUCUCUUCGUCAUAAAUUCGAUGUAUAUAAGAUAAAAUAUCUUUGGAUUGAAACUCAAUAAUGGGCUGCAAACCUUUCACAAAAUUCUUGAAGAAUUCUUGAUCAGCCAUAUCCAAAGGACAUUGAAGCUUAAUCAUCAUUUUCGCAAGAUCCAUGUGACUCCUUUCUUGAUUUUGUUCCUUCUGACAUACUUUCAAGUGGUUUCUCAAGUGCGUGGUUCCGCUGUUGCUUGACCCUGUAUGCACCUUGAAGCAAUGUUUACAUUUGGCUACUUGUUCUCCACCUACUAAAAGCCUAUCAAAAUGCUCCCAAACCGCAGACGUCAACUUUCUCUGUGUGGUUUCUGGAAGUUUCUCCUUAUUAGCUUUGCCAGUCUCAGGGUCACCAUUGGAAACAAUCUAAGAAAAUUGAGAAUAAUAAAUCAUGUAUACUACUUUAUAUAACUCAAUUGAUUUUUGGAACUAAUUAGAUUGAAAAACAUUUGAUUUUAAGUUUUAGAGCAAUUAGAUGGAUUUAAAUGUGAAAGAUGAAUAAUUGGAGUGUAAAAAAGUAAUUAAAGUAACAUCUUUCAUAGAGAAAUUAUGAAUCAGUUAUGGACUAGAAUAUGAUAUUAACCAGAAAGAAUAAAUAAUUACGGGGUUAUGAGGUCCUUCUGGUGUGUUAAGAGCUGCAACAACCUUUGAUGAAGGAUGUGUAGGCAUUGGCGAAUGAAAAUUUGAAUCCACUCCCCUCUAAAAGCAAAUGUUAUUAUCAUAAUUAGAACCAUGAAUGCUAAUUUAUGAUUAAUUUAGUGUUGAAAUAAUAGAAUAAUAUAUAACAUAAUGUAUUUACCUCCACAUCAACCCCAUUUAUUUCUACCGCUUGAACCUCCUCUGUUUCUUCAACUGCUUGUAAACACCUUGAUGUGGAAAUAUUUGAAAUGACUUCUUUUUGGGAUCCAAUUUCAGUGCCUUGAAUCUUUACUUUUACAAACAUUUUCUUCAUAUGUUUGAAGUCAUUGAAGAUACGAAGAGCCAAAGAUUUUGAUAUUUCAAUCUUCUUUGCAGGUCAAUAAAGAUUUUGUAGACAGAUUGUAACAAUAUCGUGCAUAGUUAUGAACUUGUCUUCCGUCAUAUUAAAUUCAAGUUUUUCCAUAAAGCGAAGACCCUUGUUGCUUGGCACAUAACAAGAAUCACUUUGGAUAAAAAAAGCAUGUUUCUUGUUUGGAUCCGAGAUAGUUUCAUUCAUAUUGUUAACUUUAGAAGCCCAUGUUAAAGCCAAUGAAAGCUUGUAUUUACAACAUAAAUCUUCAGAUAUGUCAUGUAUCUCGGCAAGUGCAACUAAUCGAUUCAAUAUCAAACCCUGUAAAAUUAUUAAAUAAGAAACAAUUGUAACAAAUAAAAUUUGAAAUAACACUCUAAAUGAAAAGAAUUUUGACAUUGUACUUUUAAUUUGAUAAAGAUAAUUAAAAUUCAAAGGCAAUUUUUUCCUGUUAAUUAUUUAUAAAUUUAAAUAAAUUAAAAACAUAAUAUCAUAAUUAUACUUAUUCAUAAAUCAAGCUGGAUUUAGUAUGUUUAUGAAUACCUUUAAUUAGAGUAAAAGAAUAAAAAAAAUUCUCAUUUUCAAAUAGUACAAUUAUGACAUAUUGAGACUAUAUUUAUAAUAUGACUAAAAUUUAUCAAUAAUUUAUUUACACAAUUUAUUAAUUUUGUAUGAAAAAAAGGUUAAGUUAAUACCUCCGAAAAAGGUUGAAGAGGUUGAAGAGGCAGAGGAUUUGGAUUGAAAUCUACAAAGAUAUUCCAUUCAAUAAAAAUGUUAUAAAUAAGAGUAAUUUUAAUCCAAGAAUAAUAAUUAAAUACAUAAACAAUAAGUCAAGGAAAGGAAAAUUGAAGAUAUAUAUUUUAACUUUAAAUACAUUACAUUAUUUAAAUAUCAUUAAACUAAUAAUAUGUAAAUUAUAAUUAAAAUAAAUUAGUUUUGCAUAUGUAAUUUUGAUAAUUCACCAUUAAUUUUGAUGAAUUGAUUAAUCACUUAUUCGAUUAUAAAAUAUAGUUUAGAAAAAGAAAAAUACCUUGUCGAAACUGAUGGUUGGUGGAAAUGGAAUUGAAGUGUCCAUCUUCAACUUUGGGUUUCCAUGCCGAUAAGAAAAACAUUGGACAUCCCUUGUAACCUAAAAUCAAACACUCUUCUUCCUUCCCCAUUAUUUUUAGGGAAGUCUGAUUGUCAAGAAUAUGUCGCUCUGUAAGUAACAAACAUUCCUCCUCGUUGCUAAGAUCAUCUUUCGUGUGGUUUAAUGGAAUUCGACUAAAACCACCCAUUGAAAAGAGACGUUGCCAUUCACUCAAUGUUUGGUGCCGCCUAAUUAGAUUAUUACCUUCGCAUGCAUCUCUGUUGCACUCCCACCAAUACUCAUUUCUACCAAAACCAAUGUCCGCCUCCCCCCAGCAUGUGCAAGUAUUGGAGGAAUACUGGAAUGAAUCCUUGAAACAUGUCAAGAAAUUGGAGUCGCUAUGAUUAGAAUAGAAGUCUAGCAUGAUUACAAUCGUCGGAUUUAUCUCCUUCAGUCUUACAAACUCUCUUUUCAUUGCUUCUGCAUCUCUUACCAACUUAUGAAGUUUAAAUUUGUAGUAAACCACCACCAUUUCAUCUUCUCUUCUUGUUUUGAAAUCUAAUUUAUCUUCAUCCACUUCUGCCAAACUAUUGGCGUAAACCACUUUCAACUCAUUCUCCAACUUUACAUUAAGAUUCAUGGCAUCCUUAGUCAGAAACUCCAUUAUUUUGCGUGAGAACUCUACAUAUUUUUUCAGAAAGGGUGGAAGUAUGUAACUUACACGGACGGGUAGAGGAUCGCCGGAGAAGGUCGUUAGUGUACGAAGAACUGAACCCUUAAAAUAGUUAUUGUCAUACGGGACGGGGAAAUCAAUGAGGUGCAAUCGCCUGUUUCCAUUCGAAGCAUUCUUUUCAUCAUCGAUAACUUUUUUUAUGACGUAAUUAAUAUGGUAGCUGUUAUAAUGAUAAUAUGGUGCAGGAUCCACCGGGAAAGUGAAGUAGGAAGAAGCGGGAUGCAGUCCGUAGGCUCGGCGAACCAGAGCGUCCGCAAAGUAUUUCACCACUCUUCUUUGAUCUCCAAAACCGAAAGUACUCUGAUCAGCAAGAAUCAAGAUUUUCUGAAGCAACUCAUCGGCACGUUUCAGAUCCCCAUCUUCAAUAGCUUCAGCGCUGGAUAGUAACAAUCUCAAGGCGGUUUCGGUGUCAAAAAGAUCAAAAUCCAUGAAACAAGCUCAGAUUCAACACAGUUUGGGUAAAGCUGAAGAGAAAUUUGGUAGAAAAGUAAGUUAUAUAUAAAUAUAUAAUUAUAUAUAAAUUUUAAUUUUGUUUAAUUUAGUAUAUAAAAUUAUGAUUUGAUUUGAUUCGAUUCGAUUAGAUUCAAUUCUUGUAAAUUAUUAACAUAAUUAUUGUCAUAACUUUAAUUUAUCUUUAUAUAUUGCAUAUAUGAAUAAUUAUAUUUAUUCAAUAUAAAAAAAAUUGAUAUAUUUAUUUCUUUAAAUAUAUCGCUAUCCUUCUCAGUUAUUUCUUCUUUAACUAUAAAGGAAUUCUUUUGAUCCAUUUGCAACUCCACUAUACGGUCACUAAAUAGCAAUUUGGCUUUAUCAGCCGUAAUCUCAUCAUAUCUCUAUAAUUGCUUUAGCUCUACCACGCAUUUAGGAACUAACACACAACAUGGUUCGAUUUUGAGAAGAAAAUGCAUUACCCUUUCACCAAUUAAUUCAUCCCCGCUCAUUAACUCUUUUUGCAAAGCUCCAGUGGAGAGAUUGUCGAGACACGUAAUAAAGUCCAUCUUUGAGCAGUCAACAUAUAACAUAUUUUAUAUUUGCUAAGUUUGAUUCAGUCUGAAAUAUGAACUUAAUUUUAUCAAAAUUCACAUAUUUUUGUAAAUAGUUAACUCAAAUCUAUUUUAAGCUUUAUAUAUUUUUUAUUUAUUAAAAUUUUAUAUGUAGUUAUAUUAACAUUUUUAAUAUUUAUAUUAUAUAUUACUAUUAAUUUAAUUUGUAUGUGUUAUCCAUGUCCAUGUAUCACCAUCAAGGUUAGAGAGCUUCUCCCUUCAAUUUUUUGUUAAUUUUUUAACUUAAGAUAGUAGAUAGAUAUACAUAGAGUUUUUCAGGUACCAAAUUGAAUAUUAAAACUACGUAGAGAUACUAAAUAAUAUACUAACCUUUAUUUUUAUGUCUAAAACAUCCUUCAUUUCUACCAAAAUUAAUGAAUGUGAUCAAGGUUUUUAGAAUUAAACAGGUGGUCUCAUCUAGUUAGCUCAAAGUAAACUGAUUUUGUCCCUUAAUUUAUAAAAAAAAAGUUUAUUUUAAUCAUUUAUUUAAUUUUUUUGUCUUUAAAUUUAUAUUAUUUGUCAAAUUAUUCUAAAAUUGAUUGAAAAUUAAUGUCUAUUAACUUUGGUAAUGUAGCAUACACGUCAUGUGAUGCUACACAAAUAAUUCAUUUUUAAAAUUUAAAAAAUGAAAAUUUAUUAAAAAACAUAAAAAUUAUAAAAAGAAUAUUAGUUAAUAUUUUUAGUUUUUAAAAAAUUAGUUAAUUCUUAAUAUGGUAUACUCGUGGACUACCACGUCCACGUCAACAAAAUUAAUAAAAUUUCGAGAUAAUUUGACAAAUAAUAUAAGAUAAAAAAAUAUAAAUUUCAGACUGUUGCGGAAAGGAUCGAUUCGAGAACUCCGAUAUGACUACAAGUAAAUUGACCGGAACGAAAAAUAAAGUGAACACAAGGAUUUACGUGGUUCGGCUUUAAUGCCUACGUCCACGGGCAGAGGCGAAAAGAAAUUUCACUAUAACAAGAUGAAGAUUACAAGUGUUUUACACUCAAGACACAACCCGAGAACCUCACAACUCUCAACCCCUAUAGAAAACCCGAAAGCUAAAAUCCUAGCUUUCAAAGAACAAGCUUUGCUCUCUCUUGGUUUGGGAUGAUGAAUAUGGCUAAUGAACCUCUCUAUUUAUAAGAGAGUUCAAGGACAUAAUUGUCCAAAACUUUGGCAAAGAUUUGUGGUUGAAAAUGGACACCAACAACCAUCCACUAAUCCACUACCACCAACAACCCACUACCAACAACAACAAUCCACUACCAAUUUUAAGCCAUUUCUUAACAAAUCUCCACCUUGGCUUGAAAUUUACCAAGCUGAACAUCAUAGUGAAUUCCUCGAACUGGAUCACCUCUUCCAAACGCCUCUCUGGCGCUAAUCAAUCCCGAAUACCUAUCAAGUCCAAGCAAUGCUUGAACUUAUAUGCAGGGAUCACCUUAGUUAACAUAUCUGCAGGAUUCUUCUCGGUAGCAACCUUGCUGAUAACAAUGUCACCUUGCGUAACAUGUUCCCGAACAAAAUGAUAUCUGACAUCAAUGUGUUUGGUCCGUUCAUGAAACAUCUGAUUUUUAGUCAGAUGUAUGGCACUCUGGCUAUCGCAAAAUACAACAGUGAAAUCCUGUUGUAAACCCAAACUGCUUACUAGACCUUUCAUCCACAAUGCUUCUUUCACUGCUUCUGCUAACGCCAUAUAUUCCGCCUCAGUCGUAGAUAAGGCUACGGUAGACUGUAACACAGCUUUCCAACUAAUGGCUCCUCCAGAAUAAGUGAAAACAUAACCCGUCAGAGAUCUUCUUUUGUCCAGAUCUCCAGCAUAAUCAGAGUCCACAUAGCCCGUGACACUGCUAGUGCAGUCACUCUGAUCAUAUACCAAGCAUAAAUCUACAGAACCUCUCAAGUACCUGAGAAUCCAUUUCACGGCCUGCCAGUGUUCCUUGCCAGGACAACUCAUGUAUCUGCUGACCACACUAACUGCAUGUGAAAUGUCUGGACGAGUGCAAACCAUUGCAUACAUCACGCUUCCAACUGCACUCGAGUAUGGAAUGUGAGACAUUUGCUGCUUUUCUUCAUCAGAUUGUGGUGACAACUCUGCAGAGAGUUUGAAAUGUGGUGCCAACGGAGUACUCACAGUUUUCGCUUUAUCCAUGCCGAAGCGUUGAAGAACCUUUUCAAUGUAGUUCUUCUGCGACACACGAAGCUUGCCCGCCUUGCGAUCUCUGUGAAUAUCCAUGCCCAAAAUUUUCUUGGCAGCACCCAGAUCCUUCAUCUCGAACUCACCACUCAACUGCGACUUUAACUUGUUGAUUUCCGACAUGUUUUUGGAAGCAAUUAACAUGUCAUCAACAUACAGCAACAAAUAAAUGUGCGAACCAUCUGAGAGCUUCCGAUGAUAGACACAAGCAUCAUAGUCACAUCUUGUGUAACCAUGCUGAAUCAUGAAGCUAUCAAACCGCUUGUACCACUGCCUUGGGGAUUGUUUCAAUCCAUAUAAAGACUUCUUUAAUAGACAGACAUGGUCUUCUUUACCAGGAACUGUAAAACCCUCUGGUUGACGCAUGUAGAUUGUUUCCUCGAGCUCACCAUGCAAGAACGCCGUUUUUACGUCAAGCUGCUCAAGUUCUAGAUCAGACUUGGCCACCAUGGCAAGUAAUACACGAAUGGAAGAAUGCUUUACGACUGGGGAGAAAACUUCAUUGUAGUCAAUCCCCUCUUUCUGAGUGAAGCCUUUAGCAACCAAUCGUGCCUUGAAUCUAGUUGCUUCAACCCCUAGGAUGCCUUCCUUUUUCUUGAAGACCCAUUUGCAACCAACUAUCUUCUGGUUACUUGGCGGCUUAACCAACUCCCAAGUAUGGUUCUUGUGAAGAGAUUCUAUCUCCUCACUCAUAGCAAUUGCCCACUGUGCCGACUCAUCACACGUGACAGCCUCAUUAUAACUGGAAGGUUCUAUACCAAUGGACUCCGCCACACUGAGCGCGAAAGACACCAGAUUAGCGUAACGCGGAUUUGGUUUGAUUUGUCUCUUCGUUCUUCCAGUGGCAAUGCUAUAUGGUUUUUCUUGAGGUGACUCAUCUUCAUCGGAAUCUUGCACCUCAACUUGAUCAUCCUGGACUGAAGUACCUUCCGUAGGAAUUGGAGCGUCCACCUGACACUCCACCUGCUUCUCAACACCGUGAUCUCCCAUUCUAUCUGACUCCUCCUUUUCCCGGGAAUUUGUGGUGGAUCGAAGCAUGGAUGACUCAUCAAAAGUCACAUCUCUGCUGAUGAUGAACUUGGACGAAACCGGAUCAGGACACCACAACCUGUAUCCUUUCACCCCUUGGCCGUAUCCAAGAAAUAUGCAUUUCUUCGCCCUCGGUUUGAGUUUUCCCUCAUUUACAUGAGCAUACGCAGGGCAGCCAAACACUCUUAAACCAGAGUAAUCAGCAGGAGAACCAGACCAUACUUCCUCAGGAGUCUUCAGCUCAAUAGCUGUUGACGGAGAUCUGUUAACCAAAUAACAAGCAGUAUUAACAGCUUCAGCCCAAAAUUCUUCACCGAGCCCAGCAUUUGAUCGCAUGCAACGAGCUCGCUCCAAGAGAGUUCUAUUCAUGCGUUCUGCAACUCCAUUUUGUUGUGGUGUUCGACGAACAGUGCGGUGUCUCACUAUUCCUUCAUUUUUGCAGAACUCAUUGAAUUCACCUGAGCAAAACUCCAAGCCAUUAUCCGUCCGGAAUCGCUUGAUCUUCUUUCCUGUUUGAUUUUCGAUCAAAGCUUUAAAUUGCUUGAAGUUGAUGAGAACCUCAUACUUGCUCUUCAGAAAAUACACCCAAACCUUUCUCGAGUAAUCAUCGAUAAAGGUAAGCAGAUAUCUGUAACCACCUUUAGAAAUUGUCGGAGAAGGCCCCCAAAGGUCAGAAUGGAAGUAAUCCACUGUGCCUUUUGUCUUGUGAAUCCCAGUGCUGAACUUUACCCGAGUCUGCUUACCGAAGACGCAGUGCUCACAGAAAUUCAACUUUCCUGUACACUGCCCAGACAAUAAUCCUCGUUUGCUUAGCACCGAUAAGCCUCUCUCGCUCAUAUGCCCGAGCCGCAUAUGCCAUAACUUCGUGGUGUCAGAAUCUAGAUCAUCUGAUGAUGACACUCCCGCAACACCUGUAACCGAGGAACCAUCGAGGAAGUAAAGGCCCCGCUCCAAAUUACCACGUAUCACAGUCAAAGCACCCGAGAAUACCUUGAGAACUCCACCUUCAGCAGAGUACCGAAAGCCUUUCUUGUCCAACGUACUCAAAGAGAUCAAAUUUUUCUUCAUUUCUGGAAUGUGCCGAACAUCAGUUAGAGUUCUAACAAUACCGUCAAACAUCUUUAUACGAACUGUGCCAAUCCCCAUGACUUGACAUGCGUGGUCAUUUCCCAUUAGUACUGAACCAGAAUGCUUCUCGUAUGUUGAGAAUGCAUCUUUCGAAGUACUUAUAUGAAAUGUAGCUCCCGUAUCAAGAAUCCAUCUCCCACCAGCGUAAGAGUCGGAUACUGCAAGAACGAUCUCGGCAUCACUUGAAGAAUCUGCAUCAGCUACAUUCGCACGAUCAUUUUGUUGCUCCUGUGAUUCUGAUUUCUCCUUCCUUUUCGGACAAUCUACCUUCAUGUGCCCGUACUUCUUACAGUAGUAGCACUGUAUUCUCUUCUUGGACUGCGAUCUAGGAUGGCUUUUACUUGAACUUCCACCCUUUGCCUUGGAUCUUCCUCGAGCAACCAAGCCUUCGCCUUCAUUGUUUUCGACCACCUUACCAGUGAUUUUCUUCCUCAACUCACUGGAACUUAAGGCAUUUUUCACCUCCUCUAGAGUCAGGUCAUCACGACCGUACAUCAUUGUAUCAACAAAAUUCUCAUACGAGGGAGGCAAAGAACACAAAACAAUUAUUGCUUGGUCCUCAUCAUCGAUUUUGUUAUCGAUAUUAUUCAAAUCCAUGAUAAUGGAAUUGAAUUUAUCCAGGUGCUGGGAAACAGGUGUACCUUCCUCCAUCUUCAGGGCAUAGAGUCUUUGCUUGAGGUAGAGCCGGUUCGUCAAUGACUUCGUCAUGUACUUGCUCUCUAACCGGAGCCACAAACCGGACGCGGUUUUCUCAUCCGCUACUUCUCGUAGCACUUCAUCUCCUAGACAUAGCAGAAUAGCACUAUGUGCUCUUUCUAGCAUGUCAUCCUUUUGCUCUUCCGAAAGCGUGCUUGGUAAUUUAUCUUUACCAGACAAUGCUUUUAGCAAUCCUUGUUGAACCAGCACUGCCCGCAUCUUGAUGCGCCAUAAACUGAAACUAUUUUUCCCGGUAAAUUUCUCGACAUCAUACUUAGUCGAUGAAACACUUGUAGCCAUAAUUUGGAACCUUUGAAUGAAUGAUAAUAUUUUCUUCCUGAUGUGAAAGAUCAGACAAAGCUGCAGUCACAGGGCAAUUCAGAAAAUAUUAUCACUCCUUCAACUACGCUCUGAUACCAAUUUGUUGCGGAAAGGAUCGAUUCGAGAACUCCGAUAUGACUACAAGUAAAUUGACCGGAACGAAAAAUAAAGUGAACACAAGGAUUUACGUGGUUCGGCUUUAAUGCCUACGUCCACGGGCAGAGGCGAAAAGAAAUUUCACUAUAACAAGAUGAAGAUUACAAGUGUUUUACACUCAAGACACAACCCGAGAACCUCACAACUCUCAACCCCUAUAGAAAACCCGAAAGCUAAAAUCCUAGCUUUCAAAGAACAAGCUUUGCUCUCUCUUGGUUUGGGAUGAUGAAUAUGGCUAAUGAACCUCUCUAUUUAUAAGAGAGUUCAAGGACAUAAUUGUCCAAAACUUUGGCAAAGAUUUGUGGUUGAAAAUGGACACCAACAACCAUCCACUAAUCCACUACCACCAACAACCCACUACCAACAACAACAAUCCACUACCAAUUUUAAGCCAUUUCUUAACACAGACCAUGUGAGUGAAUUGCAUGACUGGCUACGGAGAAGUGGGUUCUUGAGUAUCAAUGCAUUGGUUUGUUUAUCGAUGUCUGAAGGUUGCUCUAUGGCUUUGGUCUCUGUUCAUGCUUUGACUUUGUUGAAUGUGAGUGAAUCUCUGUUUUUGGAUGUUGCUGGUUGUCAUGUUUCGAUUGUUUAUGCUACAUGGGGUGGGUCGACUGGUGGCGAGAUGUGGUGCUACUUUCUCUCUAACUACAGCUCUCCACAGUGCUUGUUUAAUGUAAAUAGCUUGGCGUAAUCAUUUUACGCUGUUUUUUUUUAUCGAAAAAAUUAUACAACAUUUCUAUCCUUAAUUAGUUUACAUAGCAAUUACCCAAUAAUAACAAGGAAUUAUGGGAUAAGUGCGCCUGUUAUUACAAAAUUAAUUGAUUAUCUAAUAUUUAUCUAAUUUUUAAAGUAAAAAAAAAAGAGGUAAUUUGAGUAUUUUAGAGCAAUUAUUUUAAUGAGGAGUACUUUUUAUUUAUAAUUUUAUUAUGUCUUUCAUUUAAUUAAUUAAAUAAAAGUUUCAUCUUUUAAUUGUUUCAAUUCCAAUUAUGUUUUUUUUUAGUUUAUUGGAUCACACUAAUUUUUUAUUUUGAUUCAUAUCUUGUAUAUUUUUUUUGUUGAUUAUAUUAAUAUUUGAUAAAUUAAAAUUUUUAGAAGUUAUAAAUUUUCAACCAUCCACUUAUCAAUCAUGCUUAAAUUUUGCCCCUCCAUUUUUUUAAAGCAUUACCAAAUUCUAUCCUUCCACUUUUAUGAAUCUGAGAGGAUUUCUUAAAUACAUACACUUAUAUAAAUCCUAAGAGUAUUAAUGGUCGAAAACAUUUUUAAUAUCAAUUAGAUGUUGUUUUUAAUCCAAGGUUCAAUUAAAAUUUAAUAUUUAAUUAAUAAUAUGAAAAUAAUUUUACUCUUUAAUUAGAAAAAUAAGCAUAGAUCAAGAUGGAAAAGAAACAAUAAUUUCUAUCAAAUUUCUAAAAGUUGGAAUAAAAAUCCUUUCACCUUGAAACAUUUUCUUCAUAAUUGGACUCUAACAAUAAUUCUACUAUGAUUCCACUUUUAUAUUUUGGUGCAGCAAUGGUCAAGUCUGUGAGAAAAAAAAACCCCUUAAAACCGUUUUUCUUUUCCGUCCUUUAUAUUUUGGUAGUUUUGUAAUCAGAAGGUAAUGCAAUAAAUGUGUUUGUAUUCUUCUUUUCUCUCCAGUUCUGCUUUCUUCUUCCUCUCUUUCUCUGUCACUCUCUCGUUAAAUUUUCUGUCCCGUAUUAUUGAGAUACCCAAGACCACUGAUUAAACUUUUUAUAUUUAAGCAUACAUAUUGACAAGCUAUUCCCCUAAUAACCCCUUUUUAUCUUAGGAAAAAAAGUAAUAUUAAAAAAAUGUGGACCAAAGUACAAUCAUUUUACCGUUAUUUUCUUAAGCAACUUUCUUGAUGCAACUUUCUCCUUACAGGAUUUUUGGAACUAAAUAGAUUAAAAAACACUUGAUUUUAAGUUUUAGACCAAUGAGUCCUUCUAGUGUGUUAGAAAGAGCUGCAACAACCUUUAAUGAAGAAUAUCUAGGUAUUGGCGAGGGAAAAUUUGGAACCACUCCCCUCUAAAAGCAAAUGAUAUUAUCAUCAUUAGAACCAUGAAUGCUAAUUUAUGAUUAAUUUAGUGUUGAAAUAAUAGAAUAAUAUAUAAGACAAUGUAAUUACCUAGACAUUACGCCCGUUUAUUUCUACUGCAUCAGCGUCCUCUAUUUCCUCAGCUAUUUUCAAAGGCUAUGCUGUGUUUGAAGAUGUUGGAAUGUUUGAAAUAGCUUUUUCGGUGCCUUGACCCUUUACUGUUACAAACUUUUUCUCCAUAUGUUUCAAGUCAUUGAAGAUACGAAGAGCAAGAGAUUUUGAUGUUUCACUAUCCGUUGCAGGCCAAUGAAAUUCUACUACAUAAACAUCAUUAGUAGUGUAACGAUUUUGUAGACAGAUUGCAACAACAACAUCUACUUCACAAUUCUCUACAAAUUGGAGAUAUAAGAAGUUGUCUACGUCAAGCUUAGUAAUAGAUGGUUCAAAAUGGUACCCAUCCUUUGAUUCAAGUGCUUUCUCAAUAAUGGUUUGCUCAAUCUUAUAUUCACAUAAACGCAUAAAUUCAUAAGAGUUCAAAUCUUUCCAAUAACAAGAAUUAUUUUGAAUUGAAAAAGUAUAUAAUUCUUGUUUGGAUCCGACAUAGUUUCAUUCAUAUCGUUAACUUUAGAAGCCCAUGUUAAAGCCAAUGAAAACUUAUGUUCAUAACAUAAAUCGUUUAGUAUGUCACUUAUCUCAGCAAGGGCAGCUACUCGAUUCAAUGUCAAACCCUGUAAUUAUUAAAUAAAAAAUAAUUACCAAAAACAAAAUUUGAAACCACACUGUAAAUGAAAAUAAUUUUGAUAUUGUACUCUUAGUUUUAUUUUUUGUUUUUAUUCGUAAAUGUAAAAAAUUAAAAAACAUAAUGUUAUAAUUAUAAUAGGCCAAUUUUGGCCUGGGCCCGAAAAAAUAAUAAUCGAAGCCAAAAUGAUGCAAUCGGUCGAAAACAAGUAAAAAAUGGCCAAAUUGAAAGACAAUCAUUAAAUUGUGGCCAAAUAAAAAAGAUAGAGAAAGCCAAGGGGUUAUCAAAUUUUGUUGACUUGGUAAAAGGCUAAAAAUAGGAAGAUAUUAUUUUGAUUUUAUUUUAUUUUAUUAUUAAAUUAGUUAGGCUAUUUUUAGUAAACCCCAUAUAUAUAUAAAUAGGGGUAUUUUGUUUUUUGAAAGGACCGAUUACUUUUGGUAUUCCUACUUCAAUUUAGAAUUGGAUUAUUCUCUCUUUUCCUAUUUUCAUUGGAAUUAAAUUAUUUUGUUUUCUCUUUCAAUUAUGUGGGAAUUUUGUCCAUUUCAUUUCAAUUUCUUUGUUCUUUCUAAAUUCGUCCAAUUGCUUUUAGCCCUUCUGUUUUUUAUUUGUUUUGCAAUUAAGUUUUCAUUAUUCUUAAUUUUGACCCUAAAAUUUGUUUUGACUACAUUUUGGUCUUCCUUAAAGCUGUGUGUUUUGGAGAGUGGGAUUAUUUCCCUUUUGGUCUCUCAUUGUUAUUCGCAUGUUCAAAUUGGUCAAUUUUCUUUUAUUUAUCUUUGAUUUGCCCCAAGAUUUUUUUUAAGGUUCGAUUUAAUCCUUUUUUAUUUUCGCUAUUUUAUUAUCAAAUUGCUAAUUUAGUAUAUUAUUGCUAUUAUUAUUAUGUUUCUAUUUAUAUUUAUUUUGUUAUUCUAAUACUAUUAUUUAUUUUUUUAUUUAUAUUUCUACUAUUAUUAUAUUUCUAUUUAUUAUAUUUUUAUUUCUAUUUAUAUACUAAUAUUAUUUUCAUUAUUAUUUUUCUUAUAUAUGUUUUUUACUCUUGUUAUUAACAUUCUAUUUAUUUAUUUAUUUAUUUUACAUUUUUUGUUAUUAUCUAUUUAACUUUUCAUAUGACGCUCAUUUCAAAUUUUUAUACAUUAUUUACUUUAAUAUUUUCAUAUAUUAUGUAUUUCAAAUUUUUUUUACAUGUUAUAUAUUUUGAAUUGUUUAUAUAUUAUUUUUAAAGAGUUUUAUAUAUUAUUUUAUCUUGAAUGGAUACUAAUUUUUUUAAAAAAAUUUAUUUUAUAUACUUUAGAUCGCUUUUAUAACCACGCACGUUUCAAAGAACCCUCUCAAUAUAAGGAAAUAUUUCGUGUUUGGGAGUUUGAGGAAUCGUGCCCUAUCGUGUUGGGUUUCAAUUUUUCGUUCAACUAAAAUGCGAAAUAUCCUUUUGAAAUUUCAUCCAUGUUUUUUUUUAAAUUAAAAUGAGGCAAUAUUUCGUGUUUGGAAACUCGAGGGAUCGUGCCCAAUCGUGCUGGGUUUUGAUUCUCCGUUUUACCAAAGAGCCAAAUAUCCUUUUAAUUUUUCAAAUGCAUGAGUUUUGGGAAGCAUGAGAUAAUUUUGUAUUGAGGGUUUGAAAUGUUGUGUCCUAUCGUGCAGGAUAUGAUAUUUUAUUCUUUUUGAACGAGAGAAUCUCAAUAUCCAAUUCAAGAUUUCCAAACGUUUUUAAAGAUUGUAUUUUAAAAUCUUUUCAAAUUUUCAACAUUAGGACGUUAAUCGAUCAAUACGGUACCAAUUUUGGGCGUUGCGAGGGUACUAAUCCUUCCUCGCGCGUAACCGACUCCCGAAUCCGUCUUCUAGUUUUUCAUAGACCAAAAACGUUGUUUUAAUAAACCAAAAUGCUUUAUUAAAAUGAUUGACCAUAGGGUGACCCGAUCACACCUAAACAAAAAGGAUUGGUGGCAACUCUAUACCUCGUUUAAAAGUCGAUCCCUGUUUUCGAAAAUAAAAAUGGUUUCGACAAUAAUUAUACUUAUUCAAAUAAAUUUGAUUCUUUCAUACAUAAAGAGGUAUUCAUAGAUUGGAUUGAACCGCAUUUCAAAAAUAAAUUAAAAACAUUAUUCAGGUUUAAUCUAGGCUACUUGAAAUAGUUCAUUUUAUUAUUUCAAAAAUUAAAAAUUUAUAUAUUAAUAUUAAUAUUUUUAUAAUUAAAUUUUAAUUCUAAUUUUUAUUAUGAAAAUUUUAAUUCGAGCUAAGGUGUAUUUUAAUUUGGUUUAAAGGUGUAACAAGCCCUAAAGCUUUUUAAAAAAAAAGUAAUUAAGUCCCUUCUUUUUUCUUUUUUUUUUUACAUUCAAUUGAGCACUUGAAUAUUCAAAAUACAUUAAAAAGGCCCUCAAACUUUUUCAAAAAAAGCAAUUAAGCCCUCUACUUUUUUUAAAUCAAUUGGGCACUUGAACUUUCAAAAUGCAUCAAAAAGACCCUUGAAAAAUUUUCAAAAAAGCAAUUAAGCCCCUGCUCUUAUUAAAAAUUAGAAAAAAAGUAUAGAAAAUAAUAAAUUUUAGAAAAAUUAUUAAAUUUUAAUAAAAACUUAAAAAAUAAAAAUUAUUAAAAAUUAUAUUUUUUAUAAAAAUUGUAAAAAAAAUAAAAUUUUAUAAAUAUCAUAAAAAAAUGACCUCUAGUUUUUUUUAAUUUAAGUCAUCACGUGUCGCAAUACAGCGUCACAUGUGGUGAAAAAUGAUAAAAAUAAAAAUCAAUAAAAGUUAUAGAAAAAUUAUAAAAUUAAAAAAAUUUAUUUUUUAUAUUUUUAAUAACAUUUUAAUAAUUGAAUUUUUUAUUAAAAUUUAAUAAUAUUUAUAGCUUUUAUUGAUUUUUAUUUUUACAAUUUUUUUUUCUAAUUUUUAAUAAAAGCAAGGACUUAAUUACUUUUUUUUAAAAAUUUGAAGGUUUUUUUAUGCAUUUUGAAAGUUUAAAUACUUAAUUGAGUGAAAAAAAAAACAUAUAGGCUUAAUUAAAUGUGAAAUUAAUACCUCCGAAAAUGGUUGAAGAGGCGGAAGGGGUGAUGGAUAUGGAUUAAAACCUACAAAGAAAUUACAUUACAAUUAGUCAGCGUAAUGAUAAACAAAAAUAACUUUUAUCCGAUAAAUAAAAAAAAAGUUAAGGAAAAGACCAUUGAAGAUGAUUUAUUAUAAAAUUAAGGAUGAACAAUUACCUUUAAUUAAUUUGGUCAGUUUCUGUUUAACUGAACUUAUAUUUAAUAUAUUACUAAACUAAUAAUGUCAUGAAAUUAUAUUUUUUAAACUUAAAAUAAAUUAUAAUAUUUAAUAAAUAAUUAAACUAAUACUAUAAUUAAAAUAACUUAGUUUUGCAUAUGCAAUUUAUGAUUAAUGGCAGUGUUGAGAAUUUUCAAUUAAAUGAGUAAUUCGGUUAACCUAUUAUAUAUAAAUUGAAAAAAAGAAAAGUACCUAGUCCAAACUUAUCGUUGCUGGAAUUGAAAUUUAAGUGCUCAUCUUCAACUUUGGGUUUCCAUGCCGACAAGAUAAACAUUGGACAUUCCUUGUAACCUAAAAUCAAACACUCUUCUUCCUCCCCCAUUAUUUCUAGCCAACUUUGAUUCCACGUUGAAUUAAAAUCAUUUAGGGGAUUUACAUCCUUAACAAUAAGGUCAAUACCUUUCCUGUGGUUUAAUGGAAUUCGACUAAAGCCAGCCACUGAAAAGAGAUGUUGCAAUUCUGUCAAAGUUGGGUGCCGCCUAAUUACAUUAUUACCUUCAAAUGCCUCUAUGUUGCACUCCUCUAUGUUGCACUCGCACUCAUACUCAUCAUUAAUAGAAAGGCCCAACUCCUUCCAGCAAUCAACAGUCUUCAAGGAAUACUGAAAUGAAUCCUUGACUAUAAGUAACUAAUUGACUGAUGCAUCUGCACUAGGGAUUACAAAACAAUGGAAGCUUAUAACUUCAAUUAAUGCAACACUCGCAACACAGUAUGCAAGGUCAUGGCCAACAUAUGCCAGAUCUUCUUCUCCAUUUUGUGACUGGAUGAACCCUUGCGCCAUCCAAAGCUUGAUAUAAGCACAAUCCAUGCAUUAAAUUGUAGGUGACAAUUCAAUGUAAUAAUGGCUUCUUCAACCAUCUUUUCCUUGUAUAAAGGAUUGAUUAAAGGACUAAAUCUCACUACCGACUCCUUCAUUCAUCAUUCUAUCAGAGCAAGCUUGCCGUUUCUGUCGAUUUAACUAGAAACAUAAUUAUUUGUUUCUCCAAAAUCUCCAUGUUUUUCGAAAAUAAAGAACAACAAGCACAAUCCAGUUAUGAGUGACUCAUUAGUUCCAUCAUGGUAAUAACUUAUACGAUCCUCUUUUCCUUGCAUAAUGCACUGAUUAAAGAAUUGAAAGUCACAACAUUAGGAUGGACUCCAUUGAUCAUUCUAUCGAGCAAGCUUAUCGCUUCUGUUCUGUCCAUUUACCUUCACCCAAACUCAAUGUCCUUCAUAAUUAAAGAGCAAUAAACAAAGUAUUGUUUCAAAUACGAAGGAAGGCGAUCACCAAAAGAAAAAUUAAACCAUCAUCAAAUUCAUUUCCUUGGUGAUGAGAAAUGUGCUUCAUGUUAUUCAAUUGAUUUUUACUACAAUUUUUAAAAACCAUGCAAACAUUUUUGUGCUGUACAAAUAUUUGUAUAAACCCUCAUAUCCAAAUCCCAGUAACAUAGGAGGUAUCCCUUUCUCAGCAGAACCAGAAUGAUAAUUUCAGCAAUUCAUAAUGCUUAAAUUAUGAACCCAACAUAACACAAGCACCAAAUGACUAACAGAGCCUUCCUCACAUUGCCAUUGUCCACUAAAUACCUCGAUGUCUUUCAGAGACCACGUUCUUUUCAAGACAAAGAUUAAAUAGUCCCAAGAACUUCACCAGAAAUCCUUGCAAGAACAUGAACCCAAUUGAAAAUGGUGGAACCGUUGUCCAUCUCUUACAAUAAGAUGCCUGCCUGUAACCUUGGAAGUAAACUUCAAAAACGAGUGACAAUCACCACAAGUUUGUAGGUUCUUUAUGAUUGUAAGAGUAGUUCCCGGCUCAGUACCGAUAAGGCCCCAUGCGACAGCCAAUCGCUCGCUAUGAACCUUCAUAGACUCCUCUUUCUCUUCAUUUUCCAAGUCAUGAACUACCAUAUCUGUUUCAGCAACAUAUCCAGCUUCUGUAAGUUUUGUAUUAAGCUCAUUCAACUUUUCAUAGAUACCAGCAGACCGAUGAUGUGAUCUAUCUCCGGCCAUAAAAACAUGUAUCGAGCCAUUGAUCUCGAUUUGGCUCCAACCGGGUUCUUUAACCAAUCCUUUAUUCCUCAUCAUGCUUCUUGUUUUAGCUGCUUCCUUCCACUUACCAGCCGAUGUAUAUAUAUUAGCCAUCAAAACAUAACUGCUGGUGUUUCCGGGAUUUAAAUCUAACAAUUUCUUGGCUACAUAUUCACCGAGUUCGAUAUUACGAUGUUUCCUACAUGAACUAAGCAAUGGAGCCCAAACUUGAGCUUGUACUUGCAGAGCCAUCUCUUGGAUGGUUUUCAAAGCCAAGUCAAAGUGACCAGCUCGUCCAAGGAGAUCGACCAAGCAAGUAUAAUGCUCUAUUCCAGGCUCUAUUCCGUAAUCGUCUUUCAUGCUUUUGAAGUACUUCAAUCCAUCUUCUACCAGCCCUGAAUGACUGCAAGCCAAUAAUAUGCUUGUGAAAACAACAUGAUCUAGGCUGCAAGGUUUGGUUAUCUGCAUCCGGUGAAAUAGUUUCAGAGCCUCGUUACCCAUUCCAUGAAUCGCGUAACCGUUUAUCAUGGAACUCCAAACAGCUAAGUCUUUAUGUAACACUCCUGCAAAUACUUCUUCCGCCUUGUCUAUCCUCCCACAUUUACAGUACAUGUGAAUCAGUGAGGUCUGGACCUGCUGAUUUGACGCCAACCCAUUCAAUUUCACAUAAUGUUCAAUCUCGUUCCCGAUGCUCAGUGACCCCAAAUCAGCACAAGCAGAGAGUAUGCUGGCAAUGGUAGCUUCAUUUGGUUUAAGAUCGGUUCUUAAUAAACUCUUGAAUAAAUCCAAUGCUUCAGCAGGGUAACCAUGCUGAGUAUUUGCUGCAAUCAUCGAUGUCCACAAGAAAAUACAUUUCUCGUCUACCAUUUUGAAAACUCGUCGAGCCGACACAAUGUCACCACAUUUUGAAUACAUAUUAAGAACCGAGUUACAGAUCGAAGCUUCACCAAGAAAUCCACUUUUUAGAACAAGGGAAUGAACUGAUGAUGCCAAUAACAAAUUCCCAGAUUCCACACAACCCGAAAUGAUCUUAACAAACAGCACCAUAUCUUGACUAACACACCCCAUUUGUCUCAUUCUAUUAAAAAGAUUAAAUGCUUCCCCAACAUUCCCAACACUUACAUAGCCACCAAUAAUAGUAGUCCAUGAAAGGAUCGAUCUUUCAUCCAUUGUAUCAAAAAUAGAACGAGCAUCACCAAUUAACCCAAGUUUAACAUACAUAUUCACAACCGAAUUCGCUAGAGGUAUCUCGCAAUGUAGCAACCCAAGCUUAAACACACAACAGUGCAUUGAUAAGCCUAGUCGAAGAUUAGUACAAGCAGCUAUAACACUAACAAAAGUGGAAGCACUCAGCUCAAAACCAAUAACCCACAUUUCUUUCAACAAAUUCAUUGCUUCCAUCACACGGAAACAACGACAAUAAGCAGAAAUCAUAGUGUUCCAACAAACAACAUUUCUCAUAACCAUUUCGUCGAACACAUUCCGUGCAGAGGCCAAUUCAGAGCAUUUCGAAUACAUAUCGAGAAGAGAUGUUUGUACGAAGAUGUCUUGUUGAAAACCGAGGUGAAGCACGUGGGCAUGGAGCUUUGUACCAUCCUGAAGAGAAUUAAGGGAAGCGCAGGCUUUGAAGAGUAAUGGGAAAGUAAAGCUAUUGCCAUGAACACGAGUGUCUCGUAACAUUGAAGAGUAGAUUUUGAGGGUGUCAGCGAAGUCGCCAUUGUUGCUUGAGGUUCUGAUUUUCAAGUUGAACAGAUAAAGUGGACGCUUCCUUGAAGUUAUUGAAUUCAAAGGAAAGUGUCGCAUUUACAAGUUCCAAACAUUUGGUGGUUAUUAGCACAAGAAGAGAAAGUAAUGCAAUGCACAUUGAAAAAUGGAAAUAAUAGAAAUGUUGGUUUGCGUUAGAGACUUAAGAGGUGUGGUUAUCCAUAAUAAUAAUAAUAUAUUAUGUUCAAGUCCAAGCCCGAAUAAUAUUUUAAGUGAGUUUAACUUUUUGUCUAAAUUUAUUUUUCAAGUCUAAUAUUUUUAUUCGAAUUGUCUCAAAUUUCGGCCGAACUCUUAGAGUCUAAAUGGAUAGAUUGAACUAUAAAUAGAUCUAGUUUGAGGGUAUUUUUUUAAUUUAAAUUAAAUAUUAUUCAAACAAUUAUUUAAAUUUAAUUGUAAAAAUAAGGAAAUAUUAAUAAAAAUUGUAUUUCUUUGUAUAAAAUUUGUACUUUUAAAUAAAUUAAAUUGAUAUAAUAUGAAUUAUUAAAAUUAUAUAACUAUAAAAUAAUUUAAACACAAUUAUGAUAUUUUGGGGACCUCUAAUAAUAUCAUUUUCGAUGUUCGAACCUAUAUUAUUUUAUUAAAAGCGUAAUGUGUUUUAUUAAUAUACCAAACACUUAGAAUAACUUUAAAGCGUAAAUGUUUCAAUUAGUCCUCAUCUUCUUAAUAUAAGAAGGUUAAAAUAUGCCGUUAGUCCAUAUAUUUUAAUAAAAUUUGAAUUUUAGUUUUCUAUUUUGAAAAUUUUUAAAUUUAGUCUCUAUAUUUAAAAAGUUAAAUCUUUAAUUUUUUACUUAAAAACUUUAGUCUGAUCAUUAAAAUCUUAAAUAUUUUUAUCAAAAUUUAGUAACUUGACAUGUUGAUUAGACUAUCAUUAUGUGAUAAGGCAUAUGACGGAAAUUACAAACGAUGAUAAAAGUAGGAGGAUUGGAUAUUUAACUUGUUAGGUAUAGGGACUAAGUCUCAAAUUCUAUCAACGUACAGGGACUAACACUAGAUUUAACCUAAGAAGAAGUAGAACUCUAACGUCAUAUAACUAUUUAACCAAGGUUAAAACAGUCAAUACAAUAUAAAAUUUUCUCUAGGGUUUUUUGCGUGCACCAUAUAUAUAGUUAAAUAUCGAACUUUUGUAGCGCCUUUUUGUGCUUGGGUUAUAGCAAAUUGAAGAAUACUCUGAAAUCUUCAAUCCAAAAUGGUAAAACUCAUUUCUCUCUUUAAUUCUCUGAAAUUGUUCUUAUUUUGAUGCUCUGUUCUGACUUCAUUUCUCACCUGGUCUUCAUUUGAAUGCUUUGUUUGCAUCUUUCUGAUUUUCUCCUCAUUUGAUGGAGAUUUGUAGAAAUUUGGGUACUAGUAUAAUGCAACUGAUUAUCAUAUAUCCGUUUAUGUUGGCCUAAAUAAUGAGAAAUUUGUUUCAUAUAAAUCUGGUAUGGCUCAAUGAACUGUGUUUGAAGAUGGAAAAAAGUUGAAAAUUUUGCCCAUGUUUUUGCUGCGUCAUUUAAUGAUAUUUUCAGUCUAAAACAUCUGAAUAUGUUUAAGAAUGUGUGUGUGCUGUUCUCAGAUCUUUAGUUCUAAUUUGUGUUUUUACUUGCUCUUUGAGUUGCUGAUUUGCUUAUAUGCAUAUAGUCGUCCUAAUGCAAUGUUAUGUCUUUUUCUUUUUUUUGGAUUUGGCUUAUGUUUGAAGGACUUGCACAUAUUUUUACUACAUGUUACGACAUUUUAAUUCUAGAAUAUCCGAUUAUGAUAUCAUUUGUUAAGAAUGUGUAUAUUCUUUUUGUUUCAAUCUGUAUUUUCCUUGUUCAUUGAGUUGCUUAUUUACUUAUUAUGAUCCUUAUUUUGUGAUUUUGGCUCUCACCGGCCUCUGUACUAUAAUUGAUUUAUGUCUUUAACUAUGAUUCGACUUCCUCGGUUAAAUGAAUGUUUUCUGGGUUAUGAUUUACAGCCUAAGCAGAUUCAUGAGAUCAAGGACUUCCUUCUGACUGCUAGAAGGAAAGAUGCACGCUCUGUAAAGAUCAAGAAGAGCAAAGAUGUUGUCAAGUUCAAGGUCCGCUGCUCCAAGUACUUGUACACACUUUGCGUGUCGGAUGCUGAGAAGGCUGACAAGUUGAAGCAGUCCCUUCCUCCAGGUACAUCUAUAUAAAUGAUACAGUAAUCGUUUUUCUUGUUUCGGUUCAACUAGCAUCCUUAUUUCAAAUCAACAAAUAUAUUAUAGAAUUGUAGGUCCAUAGCAGAAACAAACCAUUGUUCUCGUUGCUGCUGUACUGACAGAAUUACAAUCUGUCUUACUGUUCUUUCUUACCAUGUAGAUAACAUCUCAAAGUUUCUUGGUCUUUGCUAUGAUGGUGGAGCCUUGUUUUUCUUAUUUUGUUUCAACCAGCAUCCUUUUUUGAAAUUGAGAAACAUGCUAUAGAAUCAUAAACCCAUAGCAGAAAUGAAUCAUUGUUUCCCACUGUUAUCAUACUGGUAUCAGUACAAUUGAUCCUACUGUUCUUUCUUGCCAUGCUGGUAAUAUCUCAAGGUUCUUGGAUGAAACCACUGGAUGGCCUCGUUUUUCUUAUCUUGAUGCAACCAGAAUCCUUAUAUGAAAUGAAUUGUUUGAAGCUAAAAUGAAGUAUUCUCUCUUUGUUGCCAUGCUGGUGGCAAUAGAAUGUAUUCUUUUCGCCAUGUUGGUAACUUGGUAACAUUUCAAGGUUCUCCUCUUGACUUAUCUCAUGUUGUUCUUUUUUGCAGGUUUGAGUGUUCAAGACCUGUGAAAAUAUGGCAGCCUCAGGUUUGUCACCUGAUUUAUAGGUGAUGAAAGCUAGAUUUUAGUUUUGGGUUUAUUGUAUUUCUGGUCAUUCUGCAACAGUGAAGCUCAAUUUUCUGUAAUUGGAUCUAUGUUUUUUUGUUGAUUAAGGAUUUUAGUGAUAUAUGCACUUUUCAAUUACAAUGAAUGUUCUUUUUAAUGAAAAACACAGAAAAAUUUGAUGUUGCUUCGCUACAUUUUCUUAGUUUUAAAGUUCCAAGCAAAAAAGCAGUGUUAUUUUCUAAAUAUCAACAUAUUUAUAUCUAUAAUUUAUACUGAAAAAAAACUAAUAAGGGAUUUACAAGAACUGAUUAGCAUUUUAUUAGUUUACCUUAAAAGUUGGGUGACUGAUUGUGGAAUUUACCCUAAUUCAAAACCAUCAGAGUUUCAACAUUAGCUCAGUAUCUUAUUGGCUGAAACUUGGACUUUAUCGAAUGGUUGUUAGGCUUUGGGCGUUGGGUCUAAAUUAUUCAAUCAAUCCAUGUCUCGAUAUCUAUUCCUUUUGACGAAAAACUGAGAAAUCAUCGAUCAACACCCAGGAGCUACAGUUUUUGCCUACGAUGGCCUCUUCGUCUUCUUUUUCUUCUGCUGAUGCUGCUUUGGAGAUCUUAGUAUCGUGUGCUCAUGCAAUUGAAGAUGGGAAUUUGAAAACUGCCGAUUCAUUCCUGCACCAGAUCUGGAACACUGCUGCUGUAGAACUUGACCUCAUAAGCAAACUCGUGAGAUA